rnacentral:tmRNA from 1 species
ACUUUCCGUUGCUCUUGAAAAAAAAGGGCGGCCGCCUCAUACUGUGCUUACGGUUGUAAUUCCGGCAAGCUGGAGGCGUUCUGGACGCGGGUUCGAUUCCCGCCACCUCCACCCAAGCGCAUUUCGCCGGAGUGCGUUCGGGUGGGGGUGUAUCGGUUUCGACAGGGCGAGUGAAGGUGCGCAGGCAACCCGAAAGGCGACGGACGUAAUCCGCGCAAAUCCAUAAACGCCAAUGAUGAGCGUUUUGCACUGGCCGCCUAAGGCCGAUGCCGAGGCCGCUUGAGCCUUGUCACCCAAGAAAAGCCGACGGGGACUUCGGUCCCCGUCGUCA